GUUAAAAAGCUCGUAGUUGGAUUUCUGUUAGGGGCGGCCAGUCCGCACUUCGUGCGAGUAUUUGGUUCAUCCCUGGCAUCCUCCUGGGGAGCGUAAUUGUACUUGAUUGUAUGAUACGUAAUUCAGGACUUUUACUUUGAGGAAAUUAGAGUGUUCACGGCAGGCGUUUGCCUUGAAUAUGUUAGCAUAGAAUAAUAAUAUAAGACCUCGGUUUUAUUUUGUUGGUUUCUAGAAGCGAGGUAAUGAUUAAUAGGGACAAUUGGGGGUAUUCGAAUUAACGCGUCAGAGGUGGAAUUCUUGGAUUGCGUUACGACGAACUACUGCGAAAGCAUUUACCAAGGAUGUUUUCAUUGAUCAAGAACGAAAGUCAGGGGAUCGAAGACGAUUAGAUACCGUCGUAGUCUUGACCAUAAACUAUGCCAACUAGAGAUUGGAGGUCGCUCUUUUUACGGCUCCUUCAGCAUCUUAUGAGAAAUCAAAGUCUUUGGGUUCCGGGGGGAGUAUGGUCGCAAGGCUGAAACUUAAAGGAAUUGACGGAAGGGCACCACCAGGAGUGGAGCCUGCGGCUUAAUUUGACUCAACACGGGAAAA
rnacentral:rRNA from 1 species